CAGUAGCCGCGGUAAUACGAAAGGUCCAAGCGUUACUCGGAAUUACUGGGCGUAAAGCGCGCGUAGGCGGCUUUGUAUGUCGAUUGUGAAAGCCCCGGGCUCAACCUGGGAACUGCAGUCGAAACUGCAAAGCUUGAAUGUUGGAGAGGUUGGGGGAAUACCUAGUGGAGAAGUGAAAUUCGUAGAGAUUAGGUGGAACACCAGAGGCGAAGGCGCCUGACUGGCCAAACAUUGACGCUGAGGCGCGAAAGCGUGGGUAGCAAACAGGAUUAGAUACCCGGGUAGUCCCUGUCUCUUAUAC
rnacentral:rRNA from 1 species